CACGUAGGGUGCGAGCGUUGUCCGGAAUUAUUGGGCGUAAAGAGCUCGUAGGUGGUUUGUUACGUCUGCUGUGAAAACCUAGGGCUUAACCCUGGGCUUGCAGUGGAUACGGGCAGACUAGAGGUAGGUAGGGGAGAAUGGAAUUCCUGGUGUAGCGGUGAAAUGCGCAGAUAUCAGGAGGAACACCGGUGGCGAAGGCGGGACUCUGGGCCGAUACUGACGCUGAGGAGCGAAAGCGUGGGGAGCGAACAGG
rnacentral:rRNA from 1 species